UACGGAGGGUGCAAGCGUUAUCCGGAUUCACUGGGUUUAAAGGGUGCGUAGGCGGACAGGUAAGUCAGUGGUGAAAUCUCUGGGCUUAACUCAGAAGCUGCCGUUGAUACUAUUUGUCUUGAAUGUCAUGGAGGUAAGCGGAAUAUGUCAUGUAGCGGUGAAAUGCUUAGAUAUGACAUAGAACACCAAUUGCGAAGGCAGCUCGCUACACAUAUAUUGACUCUGAGGCACGAAAGCGUGGGGAUCAAACAGG
rnacentral:rRNA from 1 species